rnacentral:rRNA from 1 species
AGGAUAAACGCUGGCGGCGUGCCUAACACAUGCAAGUCGAGCGCCCCGCAAGGGGAGCGGCAGACGGGUGAGUAACGCGUGGGAACAUACCCUCCGGUUCGGAAUAGCUCAGGGAAACUUGGAUUAAUACCGGAUACGGCCUAGCGGCGAAAGAUUCAUCGCCGGAGGAUUGGCCCGCGUUCGAUUAGCUAGUUGGUGAGGUAACGGCUCACCAAGGCGACGAUCGAUAGCUGGUCUGAGAGGAUGAUCAGCCACAUUGGGACUGAGACACGGCCCAAACUCCUACGGGAGGCAGCAGUGGGGAAUAUGGACAAUGGGCGAAAGCCUGAUCCGGCAAUAUGGCGUGAGUGAAGAAGGGCAACGCAGCUUGUAAAGCUCUUUCAUCGAGUGUGCGAUUGUGACAAGACUUAGAAUAAGAACGCCCCGGACUAACUCCGCGCCAGCAGCCGC